GUCAUGUGGCACAGUCGGCAGGGUGGGCAACUCUCAAGCCACAUGCAGGCAGGGGUUCGAUUCCCUCUCCAUGGCA
rnacentral:tRNA from 1 species